GGCGGGGACGGCGCCGCUCAGGGCUGGACCCCCGACCCCGCCGGCCCCCUCAGGCCCGCCCGGCACCCAAAGCAGUCGGCCUGGCGGCCGCUCCCCACAACCUGGGCUUCUCGUCCUCGGAUGCGCCUCCAGCGUAGGGGCCUUCGGUAGGGGUCGGGGCCGUCCGCUAGGGGGACACGAUCUGCCUACGAGGCUGUACCCCUCAGCGGUCGGCCAGCGCCUCGGGAGCCUCUCCACUUAGAUCUGCACGUAGUGGGGCCUAGUACAGGCUAAGUGAAAGGAAGCAGGGGUGGUGUGGGCCUGGCACUCAGGUGCGCCCUAAAUGUUUGGUCAUUGCUGGAUAUGAGGACAUUCACUCAGGCCUGGAGGUACAGGGCACUCUGACGUGUUGCCUCUGGAGUAAUAAAAGGGACUCGCCGCCAACGGAGUUGGAGGACUGGCAAUCGGUGCUUCGCAGGGGUAGACUGAGAGAUUUCUUAUGGUUACUGGCGAAGCUAUGACUAUGCAGGGUGAGAACUCGGAGAGGCACGCGGAAGGCCAGGAGGGUGACCCGCAGGACCUUCCAAGAACUCGGAGUCCCUGGAAAUGGGGUCUGUAGCAUUAAGGUCCGGGUGUGGGAACACGGAGGCGUUGGUGAUCGGCAGUGAGCACCCACUGCCAACUCUGGAGAAAUUCCUUUUGAAGAACCAAGAAAGGGGUGCCUGUUUGCAAGAGGGCUGGAACUAGCAUUCAGCUGGGGCUUGCUGUGCACCAGGCACUGAGCUGAGUUGAACACUUGGAUCUCCUGUGGUCCCUCUGACUGGCUGAACGCAAGAACAAGUGAGCCCAGAUGAUGCUGCCCUUCAAGAUCAGCCUCUGGAAGUAAAGAAGAGAAUAGAGAAGGGCAAAGGCAGCUGUUGUAGAUGCUGGCAGGAAAGGUAGGAAUAGGGCCUGAAAAAAGUCCUUUUGGGUAUGAUGUCAGCACAAUAUAGUAAUAAACAACUCCUCUGGGCCAGGUAUUUUCUAUAAGACUAUGUUAUCCCCAAUUUACAGAGGAGGAAACUGAGGUUCAGAGAAGUGAAGUCAUCUGCCCAAGGUCACGCUGCUAGUAAAGGCCAGAGCCAGGAUUUGAACCCAGUCAUAUGACUGCAAAAUACCAAAGCUUGCCUACCCCUACACCAGAGACAAGCAGAAAAGUUGGCCCUGUGGGGGAGAAAGGAUACUUCUGUCAACACAGAGGAAUGAAGAAAGGGCUGGAAGGGAUGUGUGCAUUUAUGAUUUGUGUUUAUCUGUUACUUAGAAUUAUUCUCCUUCCCGCUUACAUAUAUAAGCAAAUGGACUUUUAAAGCUGACAUGAUUGAGAAAGCCUAACUUUACAUAGAAGAAAAUUCAAGCCGAAGAACCGAGCUGACCUUUCUGUAGUCAGAGAAUGAAUUGGAUGUGGUCAAGAAAGUUACAGCUGAAGAUUCAAGACAAUUGUGUGGCCAAUUGAUUCACCCAGCCCUCUAUCCACAUAGUUGCUUCAUGGAAGAAUUAAU